rnacentral:rRNA from 1 species
GGGACACGUGGUAUCCUGUCUGAAUAUGGGGGGACCAUCCUCCAAGGCUAAAUACUCCUGACUGACCGAUAGUGAACCAGUACCGUGAGGGAAAGGCGAAAAGAACCCCGGCGAGGGGAGUGAAAAAGAACCUGAAACCGUGUACGUACAAGCAGUGGGAGCACGCUUAGGCGUGUGACUGCGUACCUUUUGUAUAAUGGGUCAGCGACUUAUAUUCUGUAGCAAGGUUAACCGAAUAGGGGAGCCGAAGGGAAACCGAGUCUUAACUGGGCGUUAAGUUGCAGGGUAUAGACCCGAAACCCGGUGAUCUAGCCAUGGGCAGGUUGAAGGUUGGGUAACACUAACUGGAGGACCGAACCGACUAAUGUUGAAAAAUUAGCGGAUGACUUGUGGCUGGGGGUGAAAGGCCAAUCAAACCGGGAGAUAGCUGGUUCUCCCCGAAAGCUAUUUAGGUAGCGCCUCGUGAAUUCAUCUCCGGGGGUAGAGCACUGUUUCGGCAAGGGGGUCAUCCCGACUUACCAACCCGAUGCAAACUGCGAAUACCGGAGAAUGUUAUCACGGGAGACACACGGCGGGUGCUAACGUCCGUCGUGAAGAGGGAAACAACCCAGACCGCCAGCUAAGGUCCCAAAGUCAUGGUUAAGUGGGAAACGAUGUGGGAAGGCCCAGACAGCCAGGAUGUUGGCUUAGAAGCAGCCAUCAUUUAAAGAAAGCGUAAUAGCUCACUGGUCGAGUCGGCCUGCGCGGAAGAUGUAACGGGGCUAAACCAUGCACCGAAGCUGCGGCAGCGACACUAUGUGUUGUUGGGUAGGGGAGCGUUCUGUAAGCCUGUGAAGGUGUACUGUGAGGUAUGCUGGAGGUAUCAGAAGUGCGAAUGCUGACAUAAGUAACGAUAAAGCGGGUG